GUCAACGUGCCAUGCAUAUGCGUCAGACAAGAUCCGGGGAACAUUCUGGAUAGUCGCGAUUACUCCUAUAAAACCCUUGACCUAACUGAAUUUCUGUAGUGUUUGAGCUUCUUCCUUAUCUUUCCGGGCAGGUCUACUAUCUUGGGCUUUUCUAGGAUUCAGAUAUGGCCGACAGCUUAUUCGGGUACCCUUUCAGGCGCUUCUUCUGGAGCCCUCCGAUUUUCCGAGAAUGGUCAGGAUCAGCAGCUCUCAUGGAUUGGCUUGAAUCUCCUUCUGCUCACAUCUUCAAAAUUAACGUUCCUGGGUUCACCAAAGACGACAUAAAGGUGCAGAUUGAGGAUGGGAAUAUUUUGCACAUCAAAGGUGAAGGUGGGAAAGAUGAGCAUCAACCGAAAGACUCUGUCUGGCAUGUGGCUGAGAGGGGAACAGGAAAGGGUGAUUUCUCUCGCGCGAUUGAAUUGCCAGAAAAUGUUAAGGUCGAUCAGAUUAAGGCACAGGUCGAAAAUGGAGUUCUCACUGUAAUUGUUCCUAAAGAUGCUCCAAAAUCGCCUAAAUUGCGAGCCGUUAAUGUCACCAGCAAGCUUUGAGCGAUGGAGACUCGGGCUAUUGAGAUCAUCAUGGUUUGAGAAUAUUGAGGACUUAGAUAAACUAAAUCCUAUCACGAACACUACUUCAACAGACCAUAACCACCAGAUACACAUCAAUUCUUAACGACCAAAACUGAAGAAAGUGGUCAGGACGAGGGAUCAUUUUGCAAAUCGGGAGUGCUUGAUAAGCCAAUUAACGACAACAUCGAUGUUUAUGGAAUCCUUGCAAGAAAUCAUGUAGCAGCAGACCUCUCUGUCUUUGAUUGACUCAAGUCCUCUGAGAUGAUUCAAGAUGAAAAUCCAAAGAAUCUUUCAGAUACAUACAAGAGAUGGAAACUGAACUGAGCAACAAUUCAUAGAGCAAGUUCUAUCAAGUUUUCUGAACUCACAACUGCUCUACCAAUGCUUGUUUGGAUAGUGCUUCUGACUUGUCAAUUUUGUUCCCAAGAACAAGCAAAGGAAUCUCACUCAUAGAAGGUUUCAUCAGGAGGUCAUGUAACUCACUUUUAGAGACAGGAAUGCUGUCCCUAUUAGCAGCAUCUACAACAUACCUGUCUUUCAAUUCAUCAGUUGAAAAAACAAAUCUUUUAGAAAGGGUAUAGUACUCAAGUGUUAAAAAGUUAUGUCCACUCUAAUAAGCAAACCAUAAUAAAGACAAAACCAUUUUCUGCC